rnacentral:tRNA from 1 species
CCGCCCAUAGCUCAGCUGGUAGAGCAGACGGCUCUUAACCGUAAGGUCCUAGGUUCGAAUCCUAGUGGGCGGACAA